AUUGAACGCUGGCGGCAGGCUUAACACAUGCAAGUCGAGCGGUAACAGAGAUAGCUUGCUAUCUGCUGACGAGCGGCGGACGGGUGAGUAAUGCUUGGGAAUAUGCCUUAUGGUGGGGGACAACAGUUGGAAACGACUGCUAAUACCGCAUGUCUACAGACCAAAGGGGGCUUUUAUUAGCUCUCGCCUAAAGAGUGGCCUAAGCGAGAUUAGCUUGUUGGUGAGGUAAAGGCUCACCAAGGCGACGAUCUCUAGCUGUUCUGAGAGGAAGAUCAGCCACACUGGGACUGAGACACGGCCCAGACUCCUACGGGAGGCAGCAGUGGGGAAUAUUGCACAAUGGGCGCAAGCCUGAUGCAGCCAUGCCGCGUGUGUGAAGAAGGCCUUAGGGUUGUAAAGCACUUUCAGUAGGGAGGAAAAGUUAGUCGUUAAUAUCGGCUAACCCUGACGUUACCUACAGAAGAAGCACCGGCAAACUCCGUGCCAGCAGCCGCGGUAAUACGGAGGGUGCGAGCGUUAAUCGGAAUUACUGGGCGUAAAGCGCGCGUAGGCGGCUUGUUAAGCUAGAUGUGAAAGCCCCGGGCUCAACCUGGGAACUGCAUUUAGAACUGGCAGGCUAGAGUACAGUAGAGGGUGGUGGAAUUUCCUGUGUAUCGGUGAAAUGCGUAGAUAUAGGAAGGAAUACCAGUGGCGAAGGCGGCCACCUGGACUGAUACUGACACUGAGGUGCGAAAGUGUGGGUAGCGAACAGGAUUAGAUACCCUGGUAGUCCAUGCCGUAAACGAUGUCAACUAGCCGUUGGAAGACUUGAUCUUUUAGUGGCGCAGCUAACGCAAUAAGUUGACCGCCUGGGGAGUACGGCCGCAAGGUUAAAACUCAAAUGAAUUGACGGGGGCCCGCACAAGCGGUGGAGCAUGUGGUUUAAUUCGAAGCAACGCGAAAAACCUUACCUACUCUUGACAUCCUCAGAACUUAGCAGAGAUGCUUUGGUGCCUUCGGGAACUGAGUGACAGGUGCUGCAUGGCUGUCGUCAGCUCGUGUUGUGAAAUGUUGGGUUAAGUCCCGUAACGAGCGCAACCCUUGUCCUUAGUUGCCAGCAUUUAGUUGGGGACUCUAAGGAGACUGCCGGUGACAAACCGGAGGAAGGCGGGGACGACGUCAAGUCAUCAUGGCCCUUACGAGUAGGGCUACACACGUGCUACAAUGGCAAGUACAGAGGGCCGCGAAGCCGCGAGGUGGAGCUAAUCUCACAAAGCUUGUCGUAGUCCGGAUUGGAGUCUGCAACUCGACUCCAUGAAGUCGGAAUCGCUAGUAAUCGCAAAUCAGAAUGUUGCGGUGAAUACGUUCCCGGGCCUUGUACACACCGCCCGUCACACCAUGGGAGUGGGUUGCUCCAGAAGUAGAUAGCUUAACCCUUCGG
rnacentral:rRNA from 1 species